rnacentral:rRNA from 1 species
UACGUAGGGUGCAAGCGUUGUCCGGAAUUAUUGGGCGUAAAGAGCUCGUAGGCGGUUUGUCGCGUCGAAUGUGAAAACCCGGGGCUCAACUCCGGGCCUGCAUUCGAUACGGGCAGACUAGAGUUCGGUAGGGGAGUCUGGAAUUCCUGGUGUAGCGGUGAAAUGCGCAGAUAUCAGGAGGAACACCGGUGGCGAAGGCGGCUCACUGGCCCGGUACUGACGCUGAGGCACGAAAGCGUGGGGAGCAAACAGG